CGACCCCAGCUCAGGUGAGAACACCCUUUGAGUUUAAGUAUAUAAUUAAGCAGAGGAAAAGAAACUUACAUGGAUUCCCCUAGUAAUGGCGAGUGAACCGAGAAGAGCCCAGCAUGAAAAUCGGGUGGCAGUGUCACCUGAAUUGUAGUCUGUAGAAGUAUCCUUAGCGGCGGAUCGUGCCCAAGUCCCCUGGAAGGGGGUGCCUGAGAGGGUGAUAGCCCCAUCUGGCUGGGACCUUGGUGCACCACGAGGUGUUGUUGGCGAGUCGGGUUGUUUGGGAAUGCAUCCCUAAUCGGGUGGUAAAUUCCGUCCAAGGCUAAAUACAUGUGAGAGACUGAUAGUGAACAAGUACCAUGAGGGAAAGAUGAAAAGGACUUUGAAAAGGGAGUUAAAGAUUGCUUGAAAUUGCUGGGAGGGAAGUGGAUGGAGGUCGGCGAUGCGUCUUGGUCGG
rnacentral:ncRNA from 1 species